rnacentral:rRNA from 1 species
GACGAACGCUGGCGGCGUGCUUAACACAUGCAAGUCGAACGAUGAAGCCUUAGCUUGCUUUGGUGGAUUAGUGGCGAAUGGGUGAGUAACACGUGAGCAACGUGCCCAGGACUCUGGAAUAACCGCGGGAAACCGUGGCUAAUACCGGAUAGGUGCCGAGGCCGCAUGGUCUUCGGUUGGAAAGUUUUUGCGGUUCUGGAUCGGCUCACGGCCUAUCAGCUUGUUGGUGGGGUAAUGGCCUACCAAGGCGACGACGGGUAGCCGGCCUGAGAGGGUGACCGGCCACACUGGGACUGAGACACGGCCCAGACUCCUACGGGAGGCAGCAGUGGGGAAUAUUGCACAAUGGGCGCAAGCCUGAUGCAGCAACGCCGCGUGGGGGAUGACGGCCUUCGGGUUGUAAACCUCUUUUAGUAGGGAAGAAGCGCAAGUGACGGUACCUGCAGAAAAAGCACCGGCUAACUACGUG